rnacentral:rRNA from 1 species
CCUACGGGAGGCAGCAGUAGGGAAUCUUCCACAAUGGGCGAAAGCCUGAUGGAGCAACGCCGCGUGAGUGAUGAAGGCCUUCGGGUUGUAAAACUCUGUCAUUCGGGACGAACCGGAGUCUGAGGAAAUGCAGACUCUCUGACGGUACCGGAGGAGGAAGCCCCGGCUAACUACGUGCCAGCAGCCGCGGUAAUACGUAGGGGGCAAGCGUUGUCCGGAUUCACUGGGCGUAAAGCGCGCGCAGGCGGUGAUGUAAGUCUGAGGUGAAAACCCGAAGCUCAACUUCGGGACUGCCUUGGAUACUGCGUCACUUGAGGAUAGGAGAGGCAAGGGGAAUUCCACGUGUAGCGGUGAAAUGCGUAGAGAUGUGGAGGAACACCUGUGGCGAAGGCGCCUUGCUGGCCUAUUUCUGACGCUGAGGCGCGAAAGCGUGGGGAGCAAACAGGAUUAGAUACCCUGGUAGUCCACGCUGUAAACGAUGAGUGCUAGGUGUAGGUGGGCUCAUACCCAUCUGUGCCGAAGCUAACGCAUUAAGCACUCCGCCUGGGGAGUCGGUCGCAAGCUGAAACUCAAGGAUUGACGGCNGAGAGNGCGAGGACGACACGAGGGGAGGAGG